CCUUUUGGAGUAUCCAUGGCUGAAUACAUAGGCCAUGCGAAGCGAACGCGGUGAACUGAAACAUCUAAGUAACCGCAGGAAAAGAAAUCAACCGAGAUUCCCAAAGUAGUGGCGAGCGAAAUGGGAUGAGCCUUGCACUCUUUAUUUGUAUUGUUAGCCGAACGCUCUGGAAAGUGCGGCCAUAGCAGGUGAUAGCCCUGUAGGCGAAAACAGUAUGAAAGAACUAGGUGUGCGACAAGUAGGGCGGGACACGUGAAAUCCUGUCUGAAGAUGGGGGGACCAUCCUCCAAGGCUAAAUACUCGUGAUCGACCGAUAGUGAACCAGUACCGUGAGGGAAAGGCGAAAAGAACCCCGGGAGGGGAGUGAAAUAGAUCCUGAAACCGCAUGCAUACAA
rnacentral:rRNA from 1 species